ACUCAAGAGAGCCAUGACAUUAUGUUCUUUACAAGUGUAUGUAAACUUUUGACCACGACUGUAGAUCCUUUAAUGGUCCUUUGCAGGAAUUCCAGUGCCACAGCAUUUUCAGGACAGAGACAACACCAUACAUGUCCUCAAAUAACUUCCAUACAUAAUAGAUUAAAAAUAAACAAUAAGUACUAAAAACAUUUAGAAAAUGCAAAGUUAUUUUGUGCAUUGUACAGAAUUAGCAGCUGGUAUAAAAGACUUCUUGUACCUCUCAGAUUUGCACAUUGGUUCAUCAGUCUCUAGCUGAACCUUCAGGGAAUGGAGUGGAUGUGUAGGAUUGUUCAUUGCUGACCUCAGUUUGUUCAGAGUUCUGCUGGACCGUUUGUAGUUCAGCACCGACCACUGAGCUGGCCUUUUUAAUCCGCUUGUCCAGUCUGUUUUUGUCAGCUGUGAGCGCUUUCUCCCCAACAGGCCACAGCAGAAAACAGAGCAUUGGCCACCAUUAAAUGGUAGAUGUUAAAUGCCUCCUUUAGCCUCCUUAAGAAAUGCAGUUGGCUUUAUCCCUUCCUGUACACCGCGUCCAUAUGAAUCUUCCGGUCCAGUUCCCUGUCAAGAUGCACACCAAGUCACCAAAAUGGGUUACAUCUGGUCAAUCAGGUGCUGUUUGGUUGUUUGUCUGAUCAAACUGUCAGGUCCCAGGAUAUAAAUUUCUUCCUUGACCAAAAUGCAUUACACUCCCAUUUUGAAAGAGUUACCAUGGCCAAGAGUAAAGGUGGAAAAGCUCCUCUUUCAGAAUCUGUUCUGAGCAUCUACCUGUCUUUAACCCUUAAAAAGCCGGGACCAAGAAUACUCGAUUCCCGCUUACUCGUACACACAGCCCAAACCGAGCAUUCUCGGCUCAACAUGUGUGACUUGUUUAUGACUAUGAUAUAAUAUGAUUUUAAUUAACAUAAAAUAUGCACACACCCAUAUGUUUAAGUCGACCAAUGGUAAGAUAUAAACAUUGGCCCCAAAUUUGCUUAUUUCAAACGAUAAAACCAUAUGAGCCGUUAUAACGAAGCCGCAAUUACGAAAUUCUUAUCGGGGCCACGUACCGGCCAAAAUUCAAUAUCUCCGACAAUGCGACCUUGCAAGACUUGAUCGAUAUUUUUAUGGAUUAGGUGGUUUUAGUAUAUGUUUUAGUAUAUGACAGGGUUCAAGCUUUGAGUCAUUUCACUGCCAAAAUGACCAUUUUUUCGACUUUCCGUUGGAAAUUUAAAACAAAAAUUUUCUAUUGUAAAAUUUUCUCCGGAAUUCUGAUUUGAAAUCAGAAAUGCAAAAUCUCUAACCGCUUUUGAGCUACAGCCAUUUUUUCUCAGACACUUCAGGCAGAAAUUGACACAAACAUUAGCAUUCAUAUUCCUGACAUUUAUAAGUACUGUGUUGUGAAUACAUGGAAACCUUGCUUUAACUAUACCAUUUACUGACUGAACAUCUUAAGAAAUCCAUACAAAGGUCAUGUAUUUUAAAUUCAUUUCUCCAUCACUCACAUGUAUGAAAUGACAUGAAAACAGACCCCAGGUUGAAAAAAACCGAAGUUCCCCUUUAACAAAUAUUUCUUAACUAUAUUUAGUAGCGUCAGGCAGUGAGAAAGUAACAAAAGGAAUACAAAACACCUUAAUACCCCAAAAUUUGCCAGGCGGAAAUUUAAAAAAAAGAUGUAAAAUUCCAUGUUAAAAAAACUAACACUUGUUUCUGAGCAUCAAAAUCAACAAAAUAAUGUAAUCACCAUCUGCACAACAUUUUAAAGUAUACUGGGAUUGAUUUUUGAAGCUGUAUGGUCAAAAUUGCCCAAGUGUUAAUUUUUUUUAACGAGGAUCAAUAAUUUUUUUCGUAUUUUGCUUGUGUGCUUUUGGCUGACUUAAUAAAAUAUUUGUUGCUGCACAUCAUCAUUUUUGCCAGAUCCUAGAGAAUCAAAUGGUAUAUAACACUUGCAUAUAACUGUUAUAGUCCUUCCAGUAAUAUGAAAUAUAUGCUAACUUCUUACCUUAAACUUGAAUAAUAGCAAACGAUUUUGUCACUGCACCCUCUGUAAACACAGGUACUGAAAAACACCUUGGAAUACCUGCAAGCCUUAAAACUGGGUUCCAAAUUAAAGCACACAACAUGAACAAGGGAAAGGGACCUUAAAAUACCUUAUCAAAGAAGCAUUAACACAGGAUUUACUGCUUCCAUAUCAAAGUACAAAAGUUUUAGUCACCGAAAAUCAUUGUUUUUUGCCAUAAAUGGCCACAAAAAUGAUGUAAGCAUCCAACUGAGAUAAAAUAUGAUGCUUCCAUCAGAAAGCAGACAACUUUUUACCCUAGAAACAACUUUUAUAAUUUGGAAGUAUGGAAAAGUAUUCCUUACAGAAUUUUUUUACACUGGUGGCAGUAAAACAUGACUCAAUGCUUGAAGGCUGUCAUAUGUACUUCUCCAGAAACAUGGCCUUGUAAGGGUUAAGGAGGAAUGGCCACCAAACUCUCCUGACCUCAACCCCAUUGAGAACUGUUGGGGAAUCCUGAACAUCUUUACCAGUCCACCACCGACCACCAUGACACAGCUCAACUCCAGAGCUGUGUGGAAGUAGGGAAAAUAGAACCACCCACGCUCUAGAACCUCAUACAUUCCAUGCCUGAAAGACUGAGAGUCUUGAUCAAAGGGAAUUAUUGAAUAAAUUGAUUAUAUUGCACAUAUUCACUCUGAGCUUUGUUUUUCAGGGGAGAAUGAACUGUUGGGUCACAGUGUAUGCUUGGAUUGCUGUGGCAUUUGCUUUUUGCCACGCAAACACGCACUUGAGGUCAGAUACGAGGCCAGUGAUUGGAAAAAGAUGAUCUGCUUAUCAAAUACGGUGUUUUGCCUGUCUGAGCCGUGGAGAGAUUUGAAUGGAUGAUUGGAAGACUAUUCAAAACUGGCUUGUCUGCACAUAGAUCCAGAUGAUUUUCAAGGAAUAAAACGUCACAGAUGUUGUAUAAAAAAACAAUUCCUUUCAUUUCAUAGAAUUACAAACUGAAGGAGCCUCAGGUUUGCUGUCAGGAGAACGUAAACAACGCGUCUGUCGAUCAAAAAAUCAACAUUUUUGUGCGUGCAGAAAACAAAACGUUGAAUUGAUUCGGUUAUUCUGACAUGUUUUUCAAAAAAAUCUCACAGCAGAGACACAGUUAAUAAUCAUGUAGUGAAUAUAAUCGAGAACUUCACACCUAAAAAGACCAAAAUUCAUCACAGGAGUUGAUAAACAGCAAAAGGAGAGUGAAAAAGAGUGAAAAUGGACUUCUGCCAGGUGGUUAGAAGUUGUAUAGACUCACAUAUCUUAUCUGACUCGCAGUAUUUGUUGCGUUCAAGCCCUAAACAGACCUAAAUGUGCUUCGUGGAUAUCAUGAAAUUUCCUUAAUGCUUUGCUUAAGUCUUUAGUUCAGAGAGAAGCUCCAGACCUGCUGCUUUGCAUCCUGAGAUGAGUGAAAGAUUUAUCGGCUCGUAAAAUCAGGACGUAAGGAGGAACGCUGUCAUGGUUGCUCUGCAUGUCUGGUGAGGUUUUGCAUGAUGAUGUGACUGACCAUCAGAGCUGUGAUUGGUGCUGUCGGCCUCUGAAGUGAGCAUGACAUUAACUACAAACCCAGACUUUCACAGCUUGUUUCCCUGCUGCCGUCGCCUGAGGUAAGUUCUGCUGUAGAAACAGUUCUGCAGAGUCAAGUAAAGCAGUUCGCUGCCUACUGGGGCUGCAUGAAAGGUAGAUGUUACUGGAAGGACUUGCACUAGUCAUGUAGCCUGCAUCAUGGUGAAUUUGUUUAAUUUCCAAUUAAAUCUUGGACUGUAUUCGAAAGUUAGACCGUCUGCUUCACUACUUGUAUGCAAAUCAGUUGUUUGCUGCUGGUUUUCAGUUCAUUUGGUGUAGAUGAAGGUUUAGUCCACAAUUCUACAAUUUCAUUUAGGAGACAGUUUUAUCCAAAGCGGCACACAUCUGAGAGUCGAAAGAACACCAGCAAGGAUCUAGUCAGAAGAAAACAAUCCAGAUUACAGCCAUAAAACGAGUUCAAGUGUCUUUUGCACCAUACUUCUUCAUAAUCCCUAAAUAUCAUCCCAUGUCACAGUUUCCAACUGAAUUGGUAAAAAUCCAGGUAAAAACCUGGUCUGGUUCAGAAAGGAAAGAAGAGACACACCAAAGCUUCAUUUGCUUCUAGAGCAGAGUGACGAUGGUUGACAGGAAUGUAACUGCAGACAGAAAUCAAUGGCAAAUGUUGUUUUUAUGUUUAAAGAAUGUGUGUGGAGUAAGAGUGUGUGGCGUUUAUAAAUGACAGUUGUAGUGUUUUAGCUUCAUAUAUGGACUUCAGUUGUGCACUUUAGAUGGAAACAGCUGUUUGUGUGAUAUUUUAUUGGAAUUAAACAGUAAACUGCUUCAGCUAAAAGUGGUGCAGAAUGAAAUUUGAUCUGCACAUGACAGCACAUUGGAGGGUUUUUGUUUGUUUUUCAAAGCAGCUGUUAAAGACGAUCCAAUACAAUUUAGAAGCGAGCUGAAAAAAUCUUUUUUGUGGCUAACUUGAGUGAAUUGCUUCAUUUUGUAACACACGAUUGAAUUAGGUUUAUCCAAAUUAAGUUAACAAGAAAUGAAUUCCAGUGGUUUUAGCUACGUUCACUUAAAUCAUUUGACUCCAGUCCAAAGAGCAGCUCAAGUCAACUUGAAGUUUGAAUUUUUACAGUUUGCUUUACUCAGAUCUAAAAUGUAAAACAUGGUUUUGUCAUUACACAUCUAUCAUGCCGUCUUUUGUGGGGAGGAGUAAACCUCUGCAUUUUCAUUAAAAUCAGAAUACGCAUUUAAAAAAGAGAAUAUAAUGUGAUGAAAUAUGUAAUACUUUUGGGGCAACAUCUAGUGGUUCAAAAUUAAUUUAACAUUUCUGUGCUUGUUCUGACCAAAGUGUCCUCAGAUUGCAUGACAAAGUCGCAGCAGAUGUUCGUCCAGAAUUACAAACAAGCUCCAUCAGUUGACUCUCAUGUAUCACUGCUGUAUGUUUUGAAAUAAACGCUGUACAUGCAGGUAGAUGUUAAUCCUCCUGGAGACUUCAUUUAAUCCGUGCACAUUUCUGAAAACAGGUGCAGACAAACAACACUGUAGUGUCAGCUCAUAAAAUGUACACGUGGAGUGGUUUCUAUGGACAACGCUCUUUAAAAAUUAAAGCUGUGAAGAAUCCAGUGGUGUCCUGCUUUAACACUCUUUCUAGACCAGGGGUCGGCAACCCGCGGCUCCGGAGCCGCAUGCGGCUCUUUUAGCCCUCUGUUGUGGCUCCCUGUAACUUUGGAAAAUAAAUUGUUCUGCCUUUCAGGCGCGUUUCAAUGCGUUUUAAUACAGAGAAUUUUAUUAUGAAAUUACCGCUCUUAUAUUGACGUGUCACUCCACCGGAUGUGCUGCUGGGGUUUUUCCCCCGGGACAUGAGAGCGCAAAAGUGAUGCAGAGAAGAUGGAGAAGCAACGCCUGUAGUUUCACAUCGUUUUGUACUCAAGAAUGGCAAGCCUGUAUAUUAAAGCUCCACUCCAAAGACACGUGUUGUCUUUGAGUUAAAAGUACUCAUGAUAGGGUAAUACACGUUACUCACAAGAACACGGCUCGAUGUCCAGGCAGCAGGUCAGAGAGUCAGAGGAGUGUCGUCUUGGAAAAUAGGGCAGCGACUUACCGGAGAAAAGUUAUUAGCUUAAGAUAAAUAGAUAAAUAGAUUUUACAAUAGACAUUCGAAAAAUAUUGAGUUCCAGCUAACAUUGGGUCCAGGAGCAAAAAUGACAUUAACCAAGUAAGAUAAAUAUUAGUGGAAGGACACAAUUUAAAAAAAUGAAUCUAUCUAAUUAGAGGCUUUGUAAUUAAUUAAUCACGACUGAUUAACAAGGACAUAGAGGUAAAAAAAGCGAUAUAUGCAGUGUUGUCUUCAUUUUAAAUGCCAAAAGGAUUUUGCGGCUCCCGGUGUUUUUUUUUUUUCUGUGGGAAACUGGUCAAAAUGGCUCUUUAAGUGUUAAAGGUUGCCGACUCCUGUUCUAGACCAUAAUAUACAAUUCAACAUCACCUUACAGAGCAUAUUACACAUCCAGGAGAGUUCCAGAUGUUUUUACUUUAAGAGGCUUUUUAGAUCUAAUUAUAUACACUUUUUCUAUGUUUUGUAGAGUCCUAUUUGUUUCAUUUUAGACAAUAUUUUUACAAAAUAUUUUCUUUCUUGAAUUUGGAAUUUUAUGCUUUUUUUAAUCUUACUAAAAAUGUAUUUAUGAAUUAAAAUAUAUUGCAUUUUGUGUGUGUUUUGGGGUGUUCGAUGUUUCCUAACUUGAUCAUCUGUCCCAGAUCAUCAUCGUUCAGAGAUUUGUAUGUGCAGGGGGACAUUUUUAAAUAAUACAGUACAUGUUUUAGAAGAUCUUAAACAAAGCACAGCAAAUAGGAAAACAUAGUGGGAGUGUGUCUUUCUCACUCUGAGGGUUUCUCUCUUUCUGUGUCUCUUUCAUGGAUGUGAAUGUUUAGUUUCUCCUGCAUCAGUCCAGCUGCAGAAGACACGAUGAAGAAGAUGUACAUUCUUGUCCUCCUGCUGCUCCUCCUCAGUCCUGGAUGUGGGAAUAGGAUGAAUUAUAUACGUUACGCUGGCAGUAAUGGGACAAGCUGGGCUGAAGCACAGGACUUCUGCAGGACCCACCACACUGACCUGGUCACAAUCAGAGACGCAACUGAGAAUGAGAACUAUUACUGGGGAGUAGGCUGGAUUGGACUGUACCGAGAGGAUGCAACAAGUCCAUGGAAAUGGUCCAGAAGAGACAAGAUAGCCACCUUCACCAACUGGGAAACAGAUCCACUCCCAGAUGAAAACUGUGCUUUCAAGCGUCCUGGUACAGAAAAAUGGAAAGCCCAUGGAUGUAAUGUCAAUCGUUCCUUCAUGUGUUCUGAUGAGAAGAUGUUCCUGGUGAAGGAGAAGAAGACAUGGGAGGAGGCCUUAGAGCACUGCAGGUCUCUGGAGGCUGUGGACCCAAAUGAGGCAACCGCUCCUUACCAGAACCACCUCUAUGACUUGGCCACCCUGAUCACUCCGGAAGACCACGCUCUCGCUCAAGAGAUAGCACAAGAAGCUACCACUAGAGAGGUGUGGACCGGUCUGCGUUACCUGGCCGAUCAGUGGGUGUGGGUGAGCGGAGAACCGGUGACGUAUGAGACGAUUCCAAACUGUCCGGGUUCCAAGUCCUGUGGUGUCAUGGAAAAGAAUGGAAACGCAUCUUUCGAGACACAGAACUGCGACAAGAGAAAGAACUUUCUUUGUUCUUGGUGGCCUUAAACAGUAGCGGCAUGUUUCUAAGUACACUCACUCAAGUUCUGACUUUAAGUACAAAUUUGAGGUAUCUUUCUGAUAUAAGAUUCAGUACUUAUCUGCUGCUACAUGUCAGAGGCUAAUAUUAGACUUAAUACUCCACUAUGUUUGUCUAACUGCUGUAGUUACUAUGCAAAUUAAGUUUUCUUAGACACAAAGCAGUACUCCCAUAUUCCCUCAUUUGGUGUUUUGAUGACGGUGGUGGAGAGUGAUGUCUGACACAUCAGUGACUCCUCAGUAGGUGGAGAUAUUGUCAUCUUGGAGGAGAUCGGUUUAGGAUGAAACUUUCCAUACGUCUUUGCUUCUUAUUUGUUCUCUACAUUUUGAAUGUUUAGUGUGACGUUUAUAUAAUACUUCGUUGAAAGAUUCUCACAAAUAGUCACAAUAAAGACCCAGUUUCACAUCGAAACUUCUAAUUAUGAGGUAUUUCCUUGGUAUCUUCAUAUUUUUUUAGAUAGUUUUGAUUUAUUCCCUGAAUACAGUGUGCUUCCAUGCUGACCCACACAGCAAAAAGAUUUCCGCUAAAACUGUUGCCUAAAUAAGUUGCAGUAAAAAUGACAUGAUCACCGUGCACGUGGUCAUUUGUGGACCUGAUCCCACCCAAUCUGCAGCUUCUUCCUGAGCAGCCCGCAUCAGUAGCUCUUUGUUUUGUGAGCUUCCUGGAACGUUACUGCUGAUGUUAACUUUGAUUUAUUCAAAUAUCUGUGAACUGUUUGAGACCAUCCUUCCUGUAGCAGCUGUUCAUUUUACAUCAUAUUCAUUAUGUAGUGGGUCAGCAUCACUCAUAGUAACCAAUGUCUUUGACUCUAUACAAGGGUUUUGUUUUGACACCUAAGAAUAGUUUAGUCAAUUAUGUCCUCUUUUACUCAAGUUUGGUUUUUCAACAAGGUAACUGUGAUCAUAAGUUGAUAGAAAAUAGUCUGUAGGUGAAAUGAUUUGACUUCUACAGUAGCAUAUUUCCUUUUGUUGUCAUUUUGUAUUUAGAAUUGCAUUUAUUAGCCUAACGAUGGUCCUAAAAACAAUAAAUGGCAUAAAACCAAUGAUUCCACUGAUGCAAUAGUUUUAUGUGAGUCCUUGUUUCCCUAAAGAAGUAGCGAGAGCAAAGUUAGCAUCACCAGCAGAGUUCCAAAGCAACAUUUGUGGAAAAUAUGUACUGGAACAUUUAAACAGACUGAAUAUAAUGUUUUAGUUGCAUAAUAUUAAUUUUCAUGAACUAGUUUAAUCCUGUUUCUCUGCGAACUUGAGACUGAAAAAAAUAUAAUGUGCGACUCUAUGCAAAUAUGUUGUUAAUUAUUAGGUUCAGUGACAUAAAGAAUAAUAAGUUAAUCAAUAUUUUGUUGCCAGUGUAAUUUGAAGUAUUGAAAGGUUGGGAAAAAAUGGCAAAAUUUGAAACUUUUACUUUCCUUCUUAAUAAUCAAAAAACUUCACAAAUCAAUAAUUGUUAUACCACCAAUUCAAAAAAAUAAUCAGAAAUUAAUUGUUUAGAAUCUAUUAAGCCAAAUGAAGAUUAUCACCACGUUUAUAUUAUUAUUUAUCUUUCCACGUUUUGGGGUUAAACUGCAGAAGAAUCUCUCAUCUCUUUGCUGUGAUUCAGGAAGUGUUGGUUUGGAACUGCUGGUAACCUUCCACCACGGUCACCAGGGGGCGCUAGGACAAUUCAGAAAAUCAUACAUCAGUGGGAUGAGACACACUUUUUCUGGUUCAGACUAAUAUAUAAUGUGGAGAUUUCCUAACCUGCAUCCCUGUUUGCUUAACUGAUCAAAUUCAACCGCUGAAAUAAACUUUUAACCACCUUAUGUUUGUUUACCACUGAGA